CACUCCUGCGGGAGGCAGCAGUGGGGAAUCUUGCGCAAUGGGCGAAAGCCUGACGCAGCCAUGCCGCGUGAAUGAUGAAGGUCUUAGGAUUGUAAAAUUCUUUCACCGGGGACGAUAAUGACGGUACCCGGAGAAGAAGCCCCGGCUAACUUCGUGCCAGCAGCCGCGGUAAUACGAAGGGGGCUAGCGUUGCUCGGAAUUACUGGGCGUAAAGGGAGCGUAGGCGGACAUUUAAGUCAGGGGUGAAAUCCCGGGGCUCAACCUCGGAAUUGCCUUUGAUACUGGGUGUCUUGAGUAUGAGAGAGGUGUGUGGAACUCCGAGUGUAGAGGUGAAAUUCGUAGAUAUUCGGAAGAACACCAGUGGCGAAGGCGACACACUGGCUCAUUACUGACGCUGAGGCUCGAAAGCGUGGGGAGCAAACAGGAUUAGAUACCCUAGUAGUCCC
rnacentral:rRNA from 1 species